UAUCUCCCAGCUUAAGAGGGGCAUAUAAAUGGCAGAGUGCCAGCCAAGCUAUGGGAAUUGGGUAUGGGCCAGCCCGCUGCAUCCCAGGCCUGCCUGUGAGGGUGUGCCGAGGCUAUCUCUCACAGCCCUUCUCAGCUUGUCUCCUUAAUUUGUCCCAUUCUUCUUGGCCUGAAGCCCUCCCAAUCACCACUAUGGGCCCAGCCACGCCACCUCAACUCCUACUCAUUCACUUCUACCCCCACCCCCAUUUCACCCCCGCUCCAUGGCACAGCCUUCUUUAGUGUAUUGCUUAGAUAUGACUUUUAGAAUCCUAGAGCCACGAGGCAGGGCCUGAAUAAGCCAUUAGGGAACUGGUAUUUCUUGAGCACUUACCAUGUGUGAAGAAUCUCUCUGAGAUUUUGCAUACAUUCGCUCUAAUCUUUACAACAUCCUUAGAAGGUAGAGAUACGUGUCCCCAUUUGUAGAAGACGCCAGGGCCCCUGAAGAUGAAAUGAUUUGCCGUAGGCCACACAGCAGGUUGGUGGCAGAAUUGGGAUUUGAACCUAUUCUGCUUGGCUUCAAAGAUCAGGCUCUUUGCACGAUGUGGUCUGGGCCGGUUUUGUCAUGAUUCCUGCUAAGUUAAGCUCUGGGCUAGCCAGGAAGCCGGACUGCAUGAAGAAGGCAGCCACUCCUGCAGAGUGGGCAUGGGGAGGGGGAAGGGAGGAGAAGGGCCAGCCACAGAGCCAUCUGGCAUCUGGAGAAGCCUGUUCAUUCCAGGGCUAACUGGACGUGGUGUCACCCAAACCUCCCUGCUGCCUUCCACGGCCUGACUCUCCCCCUCCUUGGGAGGAAAGUGUCUGAGGACCAUGUUCACCCAGCAGAAUACCUGAGAAGGGGAAGGGCAAUGCUGCACCAUGAGGGAUAAUAAUGCACUAAGACAGGCCCUCAGCUACCCAUCAGGCCAGGGGGCAACAGCUUUGGGCUAAAGGGAUCCUAGACUCCUCCUCACCUUCCAGCCUGUGGGUUUAGUGCUCCAGGCACCCCAUCUCUUUGGGGCUACCCCUGACUCUGAUCUUCUCAUCUUCUAUACAGCCCAACACAGGGAGAGGUUUGAGGAAAUAACAGAUGAAGUGGUGCUCCUUGGGCAGCUGAGACCUUGUCUGUUUGUUCAUCAGACUUUAAUGGAGGUAGUAAAUUUCCUGAAAACUCCCAGGAUUCAAUCUUUUUCCUCAGGCUGUUGAACAUUCAGGCAACUGCACAUGUGAUGUGACUUGGUGAGGGGCACCUGUCACGCAUCUCUGACUGGGUCCCUGAUGAGACCAGACAACAGGUCACUAUCUCCAUCAGACACCCUCCUGGCCCUCCCCUUGAGACUUGCACACGGAAUGGCUCAGCUGGCUUGGAAGGUCAUGCCCUCUGCACCUGGCCCAGAAGGAAGCAGGAUGUAAUCCAGCAGCCACUGAAUCCUAGAAUAUUUGUCUUUCCAUUAAAUUCACAAGAGCAAAAAGUUACGGUUCUGCAAUUGCUCCAUUUAUUCUGAGGCCCCCUAGGAACCCUAGGAAGAUCAGGUCAGCCAGAGCCCAGCAGUGAAUGUUCACUUCAGCCACACAUAUUUAUGAUCUCAAGCAUCGGAUCAACCUCUUCUGGGUUUCUAAACAUUCAGGAGUCUGAGAUCCUUACAGAUCCAUAUUUUCUUUUUGACAUUUCACUUUCUCCUCCAGAAUCAAGGGGAUUCAUCUUUCCUGGCCCUGGAGGGGUGUUGAGAGGUUAUAGGGAGAAGACUUGAUUUCUGAAAUACCGUGGACUAGGAUUCAUCCACUGGUCAGAGAUGUGGUGAAGCUUCAGCGGGGUUAGUGGCCCAUAGCCCUGGCCCUGCUCCCAGCACCGUCAUCCAUCUCAAAGCUCCUGUGGGCUCCGAGGGCCCAAAUGGAAGGGUGUGGGUGGCUCAAGGCCACUUGACCACAAGGACCACGGCACUCUUGGGGGAUGCGGUAGGUGCAAGGAGGGUUCUCUCUCUUUCGGGAUUCUUAGGCGGUCCUCAGUAUCCCUGGAACCCAAGCCAGGAGUCUGGAAAAGCACUGGAGGAACUGGUGCCGGGGCCCCCACCCAUGGCGUGGCCAGGCCAUGUGCUGGCCCAUUGGGAUUUUUCCAUCGCUCCUGUAGGUCAUGCCUUCACUGGUCAGAAGCCUGUCUAGGAGGGGACAGUGAUUAAUGUUUCAUGGAGGAACUGCUGGGCAUGACACCUUGUUUUCUUUAGGUUUAGAAUACAAUGAGGACGAUGAGUGGAAUUUGCUGCUGAGCUGGGGGCCAGGAUGGGGCCAUUCUUGGGGGCCCAAAGACCCAAAGCGCAUCAAUCUGGAACUGGGUGAGAGCACAACUGAUCUUCAGCCGUACGGGCUAGUACAGAUUCACCUGUUUUUUUUUUUUUUUUUUUGAGAUGAAGUCUCCCUCUGUUGCCC
rnacentral:lncRNA from 1 species